GAGGCGCCGGGCACCUUUUUCAGGAGCUCUUUCCUGCUUCAUUUAUUAAGGCAUGGAAGGGCUAGAAGGUGGAAGUUCCUCUGGGCCAUUCAAAUAAAAAAUUAAAAAGCCCCGUGGGUCGGAAUUACGAGCGAGGCCGAGCCCAAACAGCAUGUGACGUCACCUAUCCCAAUGGACUGGGAUGCAACGGAAUGGGGGGGAGGGGAGAGUGGGAGAGGAAUAACAAUUGUCUUUUUAAAUAAAUAAACGAGGUUACUAACUAAGGAUGCAAUUCUAUGCACCCGCAUUGGAAGUUGUGUACAGCUGGUAUUUCAAUGAGGGGGCUUGCUGUUGAUCCUUAAGGUUCAGAAAGGAUGAAAGGGGAGAAAAAGAAGAAAGGAAAGGGCAGUUUGCUCUCCUCAACCAACAAUUGCAAAACUCCAUGAACUAAAAAGGUACUGAUGGAAGAAUAAUUUCCCCUUUUAUUUCAUUCUGCUUUUGCACACAUGAUCCUGUAAUUCUUAGUAAAAAAUAAACCACUCAUGCUUUGAAA